UACGAAGGGGGCGAGCGUUGUUCGGAUUUACUGGGCGUAAAGCGUGCGCAGGCGGUUCGUUGUGUCGGCGGUGAAAGCCCCGGGCUCAACCUGGGAAUGGCCGUUGAAACUGGCGAACUGGAGUGUGGCAGAGGGGGGUGGAAUUCCGCGUGUAGCAGUGAAAUGCGUAGAGAUGCGGAGGAACACCGAUGGCGAAGGCAGCCCCCUGGGCUGACACUGACGCUCAGGCACGAAAGCGUGGGGAGCGAACGGG
rnacentral:rRNA from 1 species